GAUGAACGCUGGCGGCGUGCCUAAUACAUGCAAGUCGAGCGAACGGACGAGAAGCUUGCUUCUCUGAUGUUAGCGGCGGACGGGUGAGUAACACGUGGAUAACCUACUUAUAAGACUGGGAUAACUUCGGGAAACCGGAGCUAAUACCGGAUAAUAUUUUGAACCGCAUGGUUCAAAAGUGAAAGACGGUCUUGCUGUCACUUAUAGAUGGAUCCGCGCUGCAUUAGCUAGUUGGUAAGGUAACGGCUUACCAAGGCAACGAUGCAUAGCCGACCGGAGAGGGUGGUCGGCCACACUGGAACGGGGACACGGUCCUGACGCCUACGGGAGGCAGCAGUAGGGAAUCUUCCGCAAUGGGCGAAAGCCUGGCGGAGCGGCGCCGCGUGAGUGAUGAAGGUCUUCGGAUCGUAAAACUCUGUUAUUAGGGAAGAACAUAUGUGUAAGUAACUGUGCACAUCUUGACGGUACCUAGUCAGAAAGCCACGGCUAACUACGUG
rnacentral:rRNA from 1 species